CGCCUUUUGAAAGAAUAGAAGGUCUAACCUGCCCACUGAAUAAGUUAAAGGGCCGCGGUAUUUUGACCGUGCAAAGGUAGCAUAAUCAUUAGUCUUCUAAUUAAAGGCUGGAAUGAAUGGUUGGACGAGGUACUAGCUGUCUCACUGAAAUAAGUUUGAAUUUAGCUUUUUAGUCAAAAGGCUAAAAUAUAGUUGGAGGACGAGAAGACCCUAUAGAGCUUUACGUUGGACUUUUUUAACUUGUUUAGGAUGAUUCUAGUUUUAAAGGAUAAGCGUUUCGUUGGGGUGACGGGAAGAUAAAAUAAACUCUUUUUAAUUUUUAACAUUGAUGUAUGAAUUAGUGAUCCACUUAUAGUGAUUAAAAGACUAAGUUACCUUAGGGAUAACAGCGUAAUCUUUUUUGAGAGUUCUAAUCGACAAAAAGGGUUGCGACCUCGAUGUUGGACUAAGGGUUAUUUUUGGGUGCAGCAGCUCAAAGUUUAGGUCUGUUCGACCUUUGAAUCCUUACAU
rnacentral:rRNA from 1 species